ACCACAGAAGAAGCUCUGAUAUUAAAGUGCCAGUGUGUGUUCCAGCAAUUGAAAUCUGAUUUAGAUUUUAGAUUCCCUCCCUUUAUCACUGCCUGUAUCAACACAGGGAGCACUCAUGAUACUGAAUGUUCCCAUUCAGAGGGCUCUCUCCUCUUGAGGCACUGAAAUGUUUAAUCCACCCAUUUUAAGUGUUGCCCAAUUGCUACAAAAAACAUAAAUCAACAGAAAUCAUACGAAGUAAACAUUAACCUCGGCCUCAGAGCAGGAUGGUUACUUAAGCUGAAGGUGCAGAAGAGGCAUGGGAGGAAACAGCUCCUCAGCCUGACAGAGCCCUGGGAUCAGCCACGCUUCUGACAAAGAUGGACAAGCUCCUCCAGAAGUGGGGAGUGCUGCAGCUGGCAGCACCAGCUGUUGGCAUGAACCUUCAGAGGAACUGAGAGGUUGCCUGUUGCAAUUGCCAUUCCUAAAGCUCUUUCCACCCACUCCUCUGUGCAGAAGAAAAGGAUAAGAGCUCACCUACAGCUGCCUCUGAGCAGGAUGCUCAGGAGCUGGUCUCAGCAGAAGCAGAGCUGGAAGGCUGCAGAGGGACUGCUCAUCCCUGUCACGCAGCACCAUGGCUGGUUUAAAAACACUGCCUGGAUUCCUCUGUCUCUCUCCCAUGAACUCCAGCCAUGCUGGCCCUGCUAUAGCUCCAGGGUCUCCUGCAGGAAGCCAGGUUGCUCCUCUGCUUCAUGGCUUAGUGAACCUUUCCAUCUCAAGCGUUCCUGCUCCCACACCACACCAAUCCAAAAGUGCCAGACCUCAGGAGGCCUGAUCUCCCAAACACUCACUCUUGCUGCAUCUCUUGCAGUUACUGAGAAACCAAAGAGUAGAUGAUUAACCUGCCAAUAUUAAUGUUUGUGAGUUGUUCUAAUCCAAGGCCUUUCUCUGAUACUUCUGCAAGAGACAUCUCAAAUUACGUUGACUACUCAUCCUACGUAUCUUGCCUUCAGGAAAGAAGAAAAUUUUAACUAUUUUAUUUCUAUUGCUGUUUCGCACCUAAAGACUGGAGUGUAUCAUGUCACCAAACAAACUGGAAUUCAUGAAGUUAAACUUUGCCUUCAUUGUCAUCAUUUUGUCAUCAUAUUCCAAAUGCUGUAAAAGGAGGAGCAACAAAAUAAAAUAAAAUUUUCUUUCUCUGAUUUAUUUCCAGGGAAACCUCAUCUCUUUCUGCUUCCUUAUCUUUGCUGAGAUCCUCAUCAGCUCAACAUCUUCCUCCUUCCUCUUCCUUCCAGAGACAAAGGAAAACUUGUUAUGAAAAUAACCAAAGAAUUUGGCACAUCAGAUUUUAGGAAGAUAUCUCAUUCCUUUCCAGGAAAUACUUAUCUUGAAGAAGUACCACCUUCACCAACUGCUCAGCAGAAAGACCAUAUACUAAGGUCAUAAAAUACUGCAAAUGCUUUUUGCAGACUGCAAAACAAAGGCAAACUAUUGUUUUCUAUUAUGGGAAAAGAUACCAAUAUAUUUUCACAGACACAAGUGGAAUCUUCAUGAAUGACAGUCACUCUCAGAUCACCUUGAAAAUGUGAUAUGAGCAGUCAGCAAUCAACAAGUCAUUGUAGCAUGAAAUAUGUGCUAUAUUAAACUCUUAGAUUUCACUUAAAACAUGUUUUGUACCUAAACAUUUUCUUUAGUUCAGUCCCCAUGAUUUUUG